rnacentral:rRNA from 1 species
CCUACGGGUGGCAGCAGUGAGGAAUAUUGGUCAAUGGGCGGGAGCCUGAACCAGCCAAGUAGCGUGAAGGAUGACUGCCCUAUGGGUUGUAAACUUCUUUUAUAUGGGAAUAAACUGUUCCACGUGUGGGAUUUUGUAUGUACCAUAUUAAUAAGGAUCGGCUAACUCCGUGCCAGCAGCCGCGGUAAUACGGAGGAUCCGAGCGUUAUCCGGAUUUAUUGGGUUUAAAGGGAGCGUAGGUGGAUUGUUAAGUCAGUUGUGAAAGUUUGCGGCUCAACCGUAAAAUUGCAGUUGAAACUGGCAGUCUUGAGUACAGUAGAGGUGGGCGGAAUUCGUGGUGUAGCGGUGAAAUGCUUAGAUAUCACGAAGAACUCCGAUGGCGAAGGCAGCUCACUGGACUGCAACUGACACUGAGGCUCGAAAGUGUGGGUAUCAAACAGGAUUAGAUACCCCAGUAGUC